rnacentral:tRNA from 1 species
GCGAGUGUAGCUCAAUUGGAUAGAGCACCGGUCUACGAAACCGGCGGUUGGAGGUUCGAAUCCUCCCACUCGCG